rnacentral:rRNA from 1 species
GACGAACGCUGGCGGCGUGCCUAAUACAUGCAAGUUGAGCGCUGAAGGUUGGUACUUGUACCAACUGGAUGAGCAGCGAACGGGUGAGUAACGCGUGGGGAAUCUGCCUUUGAGCGGGGGACAACAUUUGGAAACGAAUGCUAAUACCGCAUAAAAACUUUAAACACAAGUUUUAAGUUUGAAAGAUGCAAUUGCAUCACUCAAAGAUGAUCCCGCGUUGUAUUAGCUAGUUGGUGAGGUAAAGGCUCACCAAGGCGAUGAUACAUAGCCGACCUGAGAGGGUGAUCGGCCACAUUGAGACUGGGACACGGCCCACACUCCUACGGGAGGCAGCAGUAGGGAAUCUUCGGCAAUGGACGAAAGUCUGACCGAGCAACGCCGCGUGAGUGAAGAAGGUUUUCGGAUCGUAAAACUCUGUUGGUAGAGAAGAACGUUGGUGAGAGUGGAAAGCUCAUCAAGUGACGGUAACUACCCAGAAAGGGACGGCUAACUACGUG